AGCCUUCUGUAUCCCUGCUAAGAUUUUAUCACACACCAGACCACAAGGACUGAUGAAACUCUCAAGAUAAAUGAAACC
rfam:Schistosoma curassoni strain Dakar, Senegal genome assembly, scaffold: SCTD_scaffold0000011